UUUUUAUGGAGAGUUUGAUCCUGGCUCAGGAUGAACGCUGGCGGCGUGCCUAAUACAUGCAAGUCGAGCGAACAGAUGAGGAGCUUGCUCCUCUGACGUUAGCGGCGGACGGGUGAGUAACACGUGGAUAACCUACCUAUAAGACUGGGAUAACUUCGGGAAACCGGAGCUAAUACCGGAUAAUAUAUUGAACCGCAUGGUUCAAUAGUGAAAGACGGUUUUGCUGUCACUUAUAGAUGGAUCCGCGCCGCAUUAGCUAGUUGGUAAGGUAACGGCUUACCAAGGCAACGAUGCGUAGCCGACCUGAGAGGGUGAUCGGCCACACUGGAACUGAGACACGGUCCAGACUCCUACGGGAGGCAGCAGUAGGGAAUCUUCCGCAAUGGGCGAAAGCCUGACGGAGCAACGCCGCGUGAGUGAUGAAGGUCUUCGGAUCGUA
rnacentral:rRNA from 1 species